rnacentral:rRNA from 1 species
UACGAAGGGGGCUAGCGUUGCUCGGAAUCACUGGGCGUAAAGGGUGCGUAGGCGGGUCUUUAAGUCAGGGGUGAAAUCCUGGAGCUCAACUCCAGAACUGCCUUGAUACUGAAGAUCUUGAGUUCGGGAGAGGUGAGUGGAACUGCGAGUGUAGAGGUGAAAAUUCGUAGAUAUUCGCAAGAACACCAGUGGCGAAGGCGGCUCACUGGCCCGAUACUGACGCUGAGGCACGAA